UACAGAGGGUGCGAGCGUUAAUCGGAAUUACUGGGCGUAAAGCGUGCGCAGGCGGUUUUGUAAGCCAGAUGUGAAAGCCCCGGGCUCAACCUGGGAAUGGCAUUUGGGACUGCAAGGCUGGAGUAUGGCAGAGGAGACUAGAAUUCCUGGUGUAGCAGUGAAAUGCGUAGAUAUCAGGAGGAAUACCGAUGGCGAAGGCAGGUCUCUGGGCCAAUACUGACGCUCAUGCACGAAAGCGUGGGGAGCAAACAGG
rnacentral:rRNA from 1 species